rnacentral:rRNA from 1 species
AACGAACGCUGGCGGCAGGCCUAACACAUGCAAGUCGAGCGCGCCCUUCGGGGUGAGCGGCGGACGGGUGAGUAACGCGUGGGAACGUGCCCUUUUCUACGGAAUAGCCUCGGGAAACUGAGAGUAAUACCGUAUACGCCCUUUGGGGGAAAGAUUUAUCGGAAAAGGAUCGGCCCGCGUUGGAUUAGGUAGUUGGUGGGGUAAUGGCCUACCAAGCCGACGAUCCAUAGCUGGUUUGAGAGGAUGAUCAGCCACACUGGGACUGAGACACGGCCCAGACCCCUAGGGGAGGCAGGAGGGGGGAAUCUUAGACAAGGGGGGCAACCCUGAUCUAGCCAUGCCGGGGGAGUGAUGAAGGCCUUAGGGUUGUAAAGCUCUUUCAGCGGGGAAGAUAAUGACGGAACCAGAAGAAGAAGCCCCGGCUAACUCCGU